rnacentral:hammerhead_ribozyme from 1 species
AUCCAUCUGAUGAGUCCCAAAUAGGACGAAACAAUCAUCCUGGAU